CCUACGUGAGGCAGCAGUGGGGAAUAUUGCACAAUGGGGGAAACCCUGAUGCAGCGCCGCCGCGUGAGCGAUGAAGUAUUUCGGUAUGUAAAGCUCUAUCAGCAGGGAAGAACAUGACGGUACAUGACUAAGAAUCCCCGGCUAACUACGUGCCAGCAGCCGCGGUAAUACGUAGGGGGCAAGCGUUCACCGGAUUUACUGGGGGUAAAUGGAGCGUAGACGGCGGUGCAAGCCAGAUGUGAAGGCGCGGGGGUCCACACCGGGACUGAAUUGGGAACGGUGGGGAUGGAGUGUAGGAGAGGCAGGCGGAAUGCCUAGUGUAGCGGUGAAAUGCGUAGAUAGUAGGAGGAACACCAGUGGCGAAGGCGGCCUGCUGGACGAUGACUGACGUUGAGGCUCGAAAGCGUGGGGAGCAAACAGGAUUAGAUACCCGAGUAGUC
rnacentral:rRNA from 1 species